UGAAGUUCAGGUAACACUGAAUGGAGGACCGAACCGACUUACGUUGAAAAGUGAGCGGAUGAACUGAGGGUAGCGGAGAAAUUCCAAUCGAACCUGGAGAUAGCUGGUUCUCUCCGAAAUAGCUUUAGGGCUAGCCUCAAGUGAUGAUUAUUGGAGGUAGAGCACUGUUUGGACGAGGGGCCCCUCUCGGGUUACCGAAUUCAGACAAACUCCGAAUGCCAAUUAAUUUAACUUGGGAGUCAGAACAUGGGUGAUAAGGUCCGUGUUCGAAAGGGAAACAGCCCAGACCACCAGCUAAGGUCCCAAAAUAUAUGUUAAGUGGAAAAGGAUGUGGCGUUGCCCAGACAACUAGGAUGUUGGCUUAGAAGCAGCCAUCAUUUAAAGAGUGCGUAAUAGCUCACUAGUCGAGUGACACUGCGCCGAAAAUGUACCGGGGCUAAACAUAUUACCGAAGCUGUGGAUUGUCCUUUGGACAAUGGUAGGAGAGCGUUCUAAGGGCGUUGAAGCAUGAUCGUAAGGACAUGUGGAGCGCUUAGAAGUGAGAAUGCCGGUGUGAGUAGCGAAAGACGGGUGAGAAUCCCGUCCACCGAUUGACUAAGGUUUCCAGAGGAAGGCUCGUCCGCUCUGGGUUAGUCGGGUCCUAAGCUGAGGCCGACAGGCGUAGGCGAUGGAUAACAGGUUGAUAUUCCUGUACCACCUAUAAUCGUUUUAAUCGAUGGGGGGACGCAGUAGGAUAGGCGAAGCGUGCGAUUGGAUUGCACGUCUAAGCAGUAAGGCUGAGUAUUAGGCAAAUCCGGUACUCGUUAAGGCUGAGCUGUGAUGGGGAGAAGACAUUGAGUCUUCGAGUCGUUGAUUUCACACUGCCGAGAAAAGCCUCUAGAUAGAAAAUAGGUGCCCGUACCGCAAACCGACACAGGUAGUCAAGAUGAGAAUUCUAAGGUGAGCGAGCGAACUCUCGUUAAGGAACUCGGCAAAAUGACCCCGUAACUUCGGGAGAAGGGGUGCUCUUUAGGGUUAACGCCCAGAAGAGCCGCAGUGAAUAGGCCCAAGCGACUGUUUAUCAAAAACACAGGUCUCUGCUAAACCGUAAGGUGAUGUAUAGGGGCUGACGCCUGCCCGGUGCUGGAAGGUUAAGAGGAGUGGUUAGCUUCUGCGAAGCUACGAAUCGAAGCCCCAGUAAACGGCGGCCGUAACUAUAACGGUCCUAAGGUAGCGAAAUUCCUUGUCGGGUAAGUUCCGACCCGCACGAAAGGCGUAACGAUUUGGGCACUGUCUCAACGAGAGACUCGGUGAAAUCAUAGUACCUGUGAAGAUGCAGGUUACCCGCGACAGGACGGAAAGACCCCGUGGAGCUUUACUGUAGCCUGAUAUUGAAAUUCGGCACAGCUUGUACAGGAUAGGUAGGAGCCUUUGAAACGUGAGCGCUAGCUUACGUGGAGGCGCUGGUGGGAUACUACCCUAGCUGUGUUGGCUUUCUAACCCGCACCACUUAUCGUGGUGGGAGACAGUGUCAGGCGGGCAGUUUGACUGGGGCGGUCGCCUCCUAAAAGGUAACGGAGGCGCUCAAAGGUUCCCUCAGAAUGGUUGGAAAUCAUUCAUAGAGUGUAAAGGCAUAAGGGAGCUUGACUGCGAGACCUACAAGUCGAGCAGGGUCGAAAGACGGACUUAGUGAUCCGGUGGUUCCGCAUGGAAGGGCCAUCGCUCAACGGAUAAAAGCUACCCCGGGGAUAACAGGCUUAUCUCCCCCAAGAGUUCACAUCGACGGGGAGGUUUGGCACCUCGAUGUCGGCUCAUCGCAUCCUGGGGCUGUAGUCGGUCCCAAGGGUUGGGCUGUUCGCCCAUUAAAGCGGUACGCGAGCUGGGUUCAGAACGUCGUGAGACAGUUCGGUCCCUAUCCGUCGUGGGCGUAGGAAAUUUGAGAGGAGCUGUCCUUAGUACGAGAGGACCGGGAUGGACAUACCUCUGGUGUACCAGUUGUCGUGCCAACGGCAUAGCUGGGUAGCUAUGUGUGGACGGGAUAAGUGCUGAAAGCAUCUAAGCAUGAAGCCCCCCUCAAGAUGAGAUUUCCCAACUUCGGUUAUAAGAUCCCUCAAAGAUGAUGAGGUUAAUAGGUUCGAGGUGGAAGCAUGGUGACAUGUGGAGCUGACGAAUACUAAUCGAUCGAAGACUUAAUCAA
rnacentral:rRNA from 1 species